CAGAGACGCCCCCUAGAGAUCCUGUUUGCAGGCCAUACAGAGAGAGAGAAGAUCCUCCAGGGUCAGUAAACAAAGACAAACAGGAUUCUGAUGAAAACCCUCCAGGUGAGU